GAUCAGCCACACUGGAACUGAGACACGGUCCAGACACCUACGGGUGGCAGCAGUCGAGAAUCAUUCACAAUGGGGGAAACCCUGAUGGUGCGACGCCGCGUGGGGGAUGAAGGUCUUCGGAUUGUAAACCCCUGUCAUUUGUGAACAAACCUUUUGGUUUAAUAGAUCAAAAGCUGAUAGUAGCAAAAGAGGAAGGGACGGCUAACUCCGUGCCAGCAGCCGCGGUAAUACGGAGGUCCCAAGCGUUGUUCGGAUUUACUGGGCGUAAAGGGUGCGUAGGUGGCCAGGAAAGUUUGAUGUGAAAGCUCCGAGCUCAACUCGGAAAAUGCAUUGAAUACUACUUGGCUUGAGGAUCGGAGGGGAGACUGGAAUUCUCGGUGUAGCAGUGAAAUGCGUAGAUAUCGAGAGGAACACCAGUGGCGAAGGCGAGUCUCUGGACGAUUCCUGACACUGAGGCACGAAAGCUAGGGGAGCAAACAGGAUUAGAUACCCUGGUAGUCCUAGCCGUAAACGGUGCACACUUGCUGUAGGAGGAUUCGACCCCUUCUGUGGCGGAGCAAACGCGUUAAGUGUGCCGCCUGGGGAGUACGGUCGCAAGAUUAAAACUCAAAGAAAUUGACGGGGGCCUGCACAAGCGGUGGAGUAUGUGGCUUAAUUCGAUGCAACGCGAAGAACCUUACCUGGCCUUGACAUGCAUCUCUAAGCGUGUGAAAGCACGUGACCCUUCGGGGAAUUUGCACAGGUGCUGCAUGGCUGUCGUCAGCUCGUGUCGUGAGAUGUUGGGUUAAGUCCCGCAACGAGCGCAACCCUUGUGUCCUGUUGCCACUUCCGCUAACGCGGAAAGCACUCUGGACAGACUGCCUCGUCUCAACGAGGAGGAAGGUGGGGAUGACGUCAAGUCAGUAUGGCCCUUACGGCCAGGGCUGCACACGUACUACAAUGCCUGGUACAAUGGGAAGCAAUACCGUGAGGUGGAGCAAAUCCUCAAAACCAGGCCCAGUUCAGAUUGUAGUCUGCAACUCGACUACAUGAAGUCGGAAUCGCUAGUAAUGGCGCAUCAGCUACGGCGCCGUGAAUACGUUCCCAGGCCUUGUACACACCGCCCGUCACAUCAUGAAAGCCGGUUGUACCCGAAGUCGCUGAGCUAACCCGCAAGGGAGGCAAGUGCCGAAGGUAUGGCUGGUAAUUGGGAUGAAGUCGUAACAAGGUAGCCGUAGGGGAACCUGCGGCUG
rnacentral:rRNA from 1 species